UACACUCCUACGGGAGGCAGCAGUGGGGAAUAUUGCACAAUGGGCGCAAGCCUGAUGCAGCCAUGCCGCGUGUAUGAAGAAGGCCUUCGGGUUGUAAAGUACUUUCAGCGGGGAGGAAGGCAAUACGGUUAAUAACCGUGUUGAUUGACGUUACCCGCAGAAGAAGCACCGGCUAACUCCGUGCCAGCAGCCGCGGUAAUACGGAGGGUGCAAGCGUUAAUCGGAAUUACUGGGCGUAAAGCGCACGCAGGCGGUCUGUCAAGUCGGAUGUGAAAUCCCCGGGCUCAACCUGGGAACUGCAUUCGAAACUGGCAGGCUUGAGUCUUGUAGAGGGGGGUAGAAUUCCAGGUGUAGCGGUGAAAUGCGUAGAGAUCUGGAGGAAUACCGGUGGCGAAGGCGGCCCCCUGGACAAAGACUGACGCUCAGGUGCGAAAGCGUGGGGAGCAAACAGGAUUAGAAACCCGUGUAGUCCC
rnacentral:rRNA from 1 species